rnacentral:rRNA from 1 species
AUGCAAGUCGAACGGUAACAUUUCUAGCUUGCUAGAAGAUGACGAGUGGCGGACGGGUGAGUAAUGCUUGGGAACUUGCCUUUGCGAGGGGGAUAACAGUUGGAAACGACUGCUAAUACCGCAUAAUGUCUUCGGACCAAACGGGGCUUCGGCUCCGGCGCAAAGAGAGGCCCAAGUGAGAUUAGCUAGUUGGUAAGGUAACGGCUUACCAAGGCGACGAUCUCUAGCUGUUCUGAGAGGAAGAUCAGCCACACUGGGACUGAGACACGGCCCAGACUCCUACGGGAGGCAGCAGUGGGGAAUAUUGCACAAUGGGGGGAACCCUGAUGCAGCCAUGCCGCGUGUGUGAAGAAGGCCUUCGGGUUGUAAAGCACUUUCAGUUGUGAGGAAAAGUUAGUAGUUAAUACCUGCUAGCCGUGACGUUAACAACAGAAGAAGCACCGGCUAACUCCGUGCCAGCAGCCGCGGUAAUACGGAGGGUGCGAGCGUUAAUCGGAAUUACUGGGCGUAAAGCGCACGCAGGCGGUUUGUU